rnacentral:misc_RNA from 1 species
GAUGAAGAACGUAGCGAACUGCGAUAAGUAAUGUGAAUUGCAGAAUUGAGUGAAUCAUCGAGUCUUUGAACGCACAUUGCGCCCCCUGGCAUUCCGGGGGGCAUGCCUGUCCGAGCGUCAUUGCUGCCCUUCAAGCCCGGCUUGUGUGUUGGGUCGUCGUCCCCCCCGGGGGACGGGCCCGAAAGGCAGCGGCGGCACCGCGUCCGGUCCUCGAGCGUAUGGGGCUUUGUCACCCGCUCGAUUAGGGCCGGCCGGGCGCCAGCCGGCGUCUCCAACCUUCUAUUUUACCAGGUUGACCUCGGAUCAGGUAGGGAUACCCGCUGAACUUAAGCAUAUCAUAAGCGGAGGA